rnacentral:misc_RNA from 1 species
CCACAGUUAGUUUAAAUAGAAAUGAAUUCUGAGUUAAUCAGAUAUUCAUAUUUUCUAUGCUAACAUUUUGGUAUAUUAAAAAUUUUUUCAGCCCUAAUUUAUUAAAAGAAGAAUAGGAGCAAGACAAAAUUAUGCUUCUUUUCAUAAAAUCAUAUAUAUUUUUAUAUACAAAAAAUAUGUGAAAUUAUUAAUUUCAUAUCAUGAAUAAUGUGUACAUCGAUAUUGAUGUAUGCACAAAUGCAUUGAAAUAGAGUAAAAUGUAUUUUAAAAUGAUAAUAUUUGAAAAUAGGCCAAACAAAGAAGAAAUAUCGUUCUUACAUAAAAUAUUAAAAAAAUAUGUAUUAGAGAACGAAGAUUCUUUUUCAUAAUACGUAAGUAACAUGCGCAUGUGCAUUGCAAAUAUAAAUUAUAGUUAUUUUAUUAAUAAUAAUUGAUGAUAAUGCUAAAAAUGAAAACUAAUUUUGCAUAAUGCAGUUAAGUGUGCUGUUUUCGUAUUAUGAUAUUUUCAAAUAUAUAUAGAAAAUAUCAUAUUCUCAUAUAUAUAUAAUAAAUUUUAUUAUAUAUAUGUAAAAAAGAAUUAUAUU